rnacentral:rRNA from 1 species
CAGUCGCCACGGUAAGACAGAGGAUGCAAGCGUUAUCCGGAAUUAUUGGGCGUAAAGGGCUCGCAGGCGGCUUCUUAAGUCUGAUGUGAAAGCCCCCGGCUCAACCGGGGAGGGUCAUUGGAAACUGGGAAACUUGAGUGCAGAAGAGGAGAGUGGAAUUCCACGUGUAGCGGUGAAAUGCGUAGAGAUGUGGAGGAACACCAGUGGCGAAGGCGACUCUCUGGUCUGUAACUGACGCUGAGGAGCGAAAGCGUGGGGAGCGAACAGGAUUAGAGACCCCUGUAGUCCCUGUCUCUUAUAC